CACGUAGGGCGCAAGCGUUGUCCGGAAUUAUUGGGCGUAAAGAGCUCGUAGGCGGUCUGUCGCGUCUGCUGUGAAAAUCCAGGGCUCAACCCUGGACCUGCAGUGGGUACGGGCAGACUAGAGUGCGGUAGGGGAGAUCGGAAUUCCUGGUGUAGCGGUGGAAUGCGCAGAUAUCAGGAGGAACACCGAUGGCGAAGGCAGGUCUCUGGGCCAUUACUGACACUGAGAAGCGAAAGCAUGGGGAGCGAACAGG
rnacentral:rRNA from 1 species